AACUGUCAAUUAAAGCAUAAUAAUAAUUAGAUAUAGUGGACACUAAUCAAAUGAACAACUUUGAGGCCUUCAUCUUAAUUGUAUGUAAGUCUAAUUUCUAGAUGUCUAAAAGAAGGUAUGAGUUUUACCACUGAACUAUACUCACAAACUUAGGUAUUAUUACUAUUAUUAAUUUCCUUCACAUCUUUAGAUGAAUUUUCACCUGCUAGACAGGAAUCCAGUUUUACAUUUUGGAACAAAGGUAAACACACUUCUGUAGGAAGAAAAUGUAAUUGUAAUUACCUUGGACUAGGAUGGGGAGAAUAUAGGUCUGAAUGAAGAGUGAGUGACUCAUAAAAACUAUGAAGUUGUGGGGGAUGACUAUGAAAAUGUUCUAAAAUCAUACUACGGGGAAGACAACACAUCUCUUAAUAUACCAAAAAUCCACAGAGCUGUGUAGUUUAACUAUAUAGCAUAAAAAAUUGCAGCUAAGUAAAAUUAUUAGAAGCUAUGCCUAUAAUCCCAACACUCAGUAGGUAGAGGCAGAACAAUCAGGAGUUCAUGAUCAUCCUUGGCAACAUAGAGUUUGAGGCCAGUCUUGGCUAUAUGAGAGUGUCUCAAAAAACCCAAAGAAAACAGUGGCUUGUUAUCUUCACUACUGAGACUACCUAAUUUACUGAGUCCCAACUAAGUGUAACAACUUGAAUAAUGGCUAAAAUUCUAAGCCUAUUUGGCCAGUCUGAAGCCUAUUCUUCUCCAUGAAGCUAAUGAAUACGCUUGCUUUCUUGGAACUUAUGUUGAAAGACACGACUUUCUCUCUUCUGUUUCUCCAUCUCCCUCUCCUCCUGACAGCUGCUGAGAUUUACAACUUCUCUGCCCUGUCACUAUGUCUUUUUUUAACUCAUAAAAUGGCCCUUACACUUAAACAAAUAAAAAAAUGUUACAAAAAUGUUAGCUGAAAGGCUAAGGGUACAGAACAGGGGCAGAACACUUGAUUAGCCUGUGUGAAGCUCUGAAUUCCAUUCUCUUCUCUGUGAGAAUCCCGAGUGAAAAAGUGAAUGAAAAGUCAACGUGAUAUUGGAAACCUAGUAUGCCCCAAACCAGGAGACUGAAGCAGAAGGAUCUUGAGUUUAAGGACAGUCUAGUUAUAUAGGAGUUAAUACAAAAGCCAUCUUUGAUUCCUGUAACAUUUGUUGUGCCACGUUGCAAAGGUGUAUUCCAUAAAGUGCCUAAUGGAUGACUGGUUUAUCUUUUGUCUUACACUUUCUGUGUCAGUGAACAGUACAGCAAAAAGAAACUUUUUUUUGGAGACAGCAUCUCAUGUAGCCUCAACUGUCUUCAAUUUCAUUAUAUAUUUCAAAGUGACCUUGAACUUUGGAAACUCUUGCUUCCAUUUUCUGAGUGUUGGGAUUGCAGGCAUUGGUCAGUAAGCCUGGUGUUACUUCCUUCUGGGGAAUGAAUCAAGAGAUUCAUAUAUGUUAGAUAAGCAGUCUAACAAAUGGACUGUAUCUUCAAUCCAAUGAGGAAUUUCUUGAUGGGUAGCUAAAAUAUUAUUAGGGAAUAGGUUCAUCAUAUAUAGUCACACUUUACUAUAAUACAACAAAUGUCCAAAGGCUGUAUAGUUGUCUUGAUAUUAUUACUUGAGUUAUUAACUAUAUAAACAAGGUACUUUCUGUAACAACUAUAAAAAUAUAAAUAUUGUUCCUAUUAGGCUUUCUAAGUGGACCAAACACUGUUUUUGUCUGGGGGGGAAUGAGAGUUCAAUGAAUAAUUAGAUUUACAAUUGUUUCCUUUCUCCUUCCUUUCUUCAUACAUCUCUUCCUCCUUUGUUGCCUUCCUCCCUUCCUUUUGCAGUGUUAAGCAUAAGACUCAGGUCUAUGUAAUUCCAGACAAGUGCUCUACUGAUUUGUUCAAUGUUAAGGUCCUCAUAAAAUUGUUGUUGUGUUUUCUCUGGCCUUUUCUUUUUUCUUAAGUUUUUCCUCUAACACCAAGUACCUGGGUUAGCCUAAUGCAAUCAGAGGACAAGGUCAAAAGUGGAAGUCAGGUUGAUUGACAGUGAGGAUAUGGUGAUUUGGGUGGAGAUGUGUGUUGAAGUUGGAACUGGCGUUUACAAGUGGGGGAGUGGGGCAGUUCAGGUUUUGUUUUUUUGUUGUUGUUUUUCUUUUCUUUUCUUUUCUUUUUCAGGUUUUGUUUUUGAAGAAUGGACUCUGACUGACAAGCAGUAAGAAGCUAGAUUCUGCCAACCACUAGCAUUCUUGGAAAACAGCAGUACCAAGAAUGUCCGUUUUGGAGGCUAAGAGCAUCAGAAGUCAGCUGUGUCUCCUGGUUUCUUAUUACCUCCUAAGCUUGCCUGGAAGCUCUGCAGAAGGAAGUACCUGAGACGGAGAGGAGGUGCCUAGACACCAACUAUUGGAUAACCUACUGGACUGACCAACAUAUUUCCUUGUUCAUACCUCACACCAGUUUCUGUCCUAAGUUCUGAAAAAUAUACCCAGAGUAGUACCUUGACAGUUCCCUGCUCUUUCUGUACAAGAACUGUGCCUUCUUUCUUUUAAGCUGGCUCUAAUAAAAUGCUUCUUCCUAAACUA